rnacentral:SRP_RNA from 1 species
GCUGAGUGUGGGUGGUCUUCUAUACUUGACAAGCAACAAUUUCUUUUUUCCCACUUCGUGGGAUUCCUGUGGAGAGGACUGGAUGGAACAACCUUUACAGAGAUUAUUAGAAAGCUAGGAGUGGGGGACCACCAGGUUGCCUAAGGAGGAGUGAACCGGCCCAGGUCGGAAACGGAGCAGGUCAAAACUCCCGUGCUGAUCAGUAGUGGGAUCGCGCCUGUGAAUAGCCACUGCACUCCAGCCUGGGCAGCAAAGCGUGACCUCGUCU